UGGGGAAUAUUGCACAAUGGGCGAAAGCCUGAUGCAGCGACGCCGCGUGAGGGAUGACGGCCUUCGGGUUGUAAACCUCUUUCAGUAGGGACGAAGCGCAAGUGACGGUACCUGCAGAAGAAGCACCGGCUAACUACGUGCCAGCAGCCGCGGUAAUACGUAGGGUGCGAGCGUUGGCCGGAAUUACGGGGCGUAAAGAGCUCGUAGGCGGUUUGUCACGUCGUCUGUGAAAUCCUAGGGCUUAACCCUGGACGUGCAGGCGCUACGUGCUGAUUUGAGUACUACAGGGGAGACUGGAAUUUCUGGUGUAGCGGUGGAAUGCACAGAUAUCAGGAAGAACACCGAUGGCGAAGGCAGGUCUCUGGGUAGUAACUGACGCUGAGGAGCGAAAGCAUGGGUAGCGAACAGG
rnacentral:rRNA from 1 species